rnacentral:rRNA from 1 species
GAUGAACGCUGGCGGCGUGCCUAAUACAUGCAAGUCGAGCGAACGGACGAGAAGCUUGCUUCUCUGAUGUUAGCGGCGGACGGGUGAGUAACACGUGGAUAACCUACCUAUAAGACUGGGAUAACUUCGGGAAACCGUAGCUAAUACCGGAUAAUAUUUUGAACCGCAUGGUUCAAAAGUGAAAGACGGUCUUGCUGUCACUUAUAGAUGGAUCCGCGCUGCAUUAGCUAGUUGGUAAGGUAACGGCUUACCAAGGCAACGAUGCAUAGCCGACCUGAGAGGGUGAUAGGCCACACUGGAACUGAGACACGGUCCAGACUCCUACGGGAGGCAGCAGUAGGGAAUCUUCCGCAAUGGGCGAAAGCAUGACGGAGCAACGCCGCGUGAGUGAUGAAGGUCUUCGGAUCGUAAAACUCUGUUAUUAGGGAAGAACAUAUGUGUAAGUAACUGUGCACAUCUUGACGGUACCUAAUCAGAAAGCAACGGCUAACUACGUG